rnacentral:rRNA from 1 species
CGAAGAACCUUACCCACCUUUGACAUGUAUGGAAUCCUUUAGAGAUAGAGGAGUGCUCGAAAGAGAGCCAUAACACAGGUGCUGCAUGGCUGUCGUCAGCUCGUGUCGUGAGAUGUUGGGUUAAGUCCCGCAACGAGCGCAACCCUUGCCAUUAGUUGCUACGAAAGGGCACUCUAAUGGGACUGCCGGUGACAAACCGGAGGAAGGUGGGGAUGACGUCAAGUCCUCAUGGCCCUUAUAGGYGGGGCUACACACGUCAUACAAUGGCUGGUACAGAGGGUUGCCAACCCGCGAGGGGGAGCUAAUCCCAUAAAGCCAGUCGUAGUCCGGAUCGCAGUCUGCAACUCGACUGCGUGAAGUCGGAAUCGCUAGUAAUCGCGGAUCAGAAUGUCGCGGUGAAUACGUUCCCGGGCCUUGUACAC